AGGACGAACGCUGGCGGCGUGCUUAACACAUGCAAGUCGAGCGGAAAGGCCCUUCGGGGUACUCGAGCGGCGAACGGGUGAGUAACACGUGAGCAACCUGCCCUUAGCUUCGGGAUAGCUCCGGGAAACCGGAAUUAAUACCGAAUAUGACUUUGGCUGACAUCAGCAGAAGUGGAAAGUUUUUCGGCUGGGGAUGGACUCGCGGCCUAUCAGCUUGUUGGUGGGUAAUGGCCUACCAAGGCGACG
rnacentral:rRNA from 1 species